rnacentral:rRNA from 1 species
GACGAACGCUGGCGGCGUGCUUAACACAUGCAAGUCGAACGUGAUUUUUGUGGAAAUUCUUUCGGGAAUGGAAAUGAAAUGAAAGUGGCGAACGGGUGAGUAACACGUGAGCAACCUACCUUACACAGGGGGAUAGCCGUUGGAAACGACGAUUAAUACCGCAUGAGACCACAGAAUCGCAUGAUAUAGGGGUCAAAGAUUUAUCGGUGUAAGGAGGGCUCGCGUCUGAUUAGCUAGUUGGAAGGGUAAAGGCCUACCAAGGCGACGAUCAGUAGCCGGUCUGAGAGGAUGAGCGGCCACAUUGGAACUGAGACACGGUCCAAACUCCUACGGGAGGCAGCAGUGGGGAAUAUUGCACAAUGGGGGGAACCCUGAUGCAGCGACGCCGCGUGAGCGAAGAAGGUUUUCGAAUCGUAAAGCUCUGUCCUAUGAGAAGAUAAUGACGGUAGCAUAGGAGGAAGCCCCGGCUAAAUACGUG